GGAUUCCUGUUCCUGCAUUGCAAUGCUAAGUGUUCCUGAAUAAACCUGCUUGAAGAAGGACAACAUGGUGUUGCAUCUUUCCUGCUGGUCCGGGUGGAUGCAACAAGUGGUGGCCCAUAAGGGGACUUCUGCUUCACGAGAGCGCUGUGUGUCUAGAAAUUCAAGAGGUCAGGGUAGCCGGCUGGAAAGCUCCCAGAGAGAUUCAGUAAUCCUGAUGCAUCUCAGAAGGGAACUAUUAAGUCGAAGGAUGUGUUGGAUGGCCAAUGGCAUGGACCAGAUCCAGUGUUGGUGUCAGCAAGAAGGAACAUGGAUGGAAAUAUUCAAUAUUUUGAUCAGGAUAUAUGAUCGACAUGAAAGCAAAUAUCACCUAUUUUCAUAAAUGAAUGAAGAAAAUGAGGCAUGCAUGUUGGUGAGGUUUUACGGAUGUGGCUUCUAAACUUUCUAGGAGAUACAAUCUGAGAGCAAAUGUCUUGUAUCACUGGGAGAGAUCCCUGAAUCUCAGGUGAGGAGAGUGUGUUAUGGAUGCACCCUUAGUGAUUGGAAUGCAAAUAUUUGAUUUUGUUUGGUUGUGUUUUUCUAUUAUGGUCUCUAAUAGUUAGGACUAUACCUUUCUUUAAAGAUUAGUGAAAACUACACUUGACUCUGAGUAUUCGGACAAAUAUUUAAAUAUUUAGAAUGUAGAUAAAAAUUAUGCUUGUUUAGUAAAUUGGUGGUGAUAGAUCCUCCUCCACAAACCAUUGCCUAACUAGCCUUAAUUAUUUGC